GUCGAGGUCAAUCCCAGUGGGGCUUUUUCUAUAGACGUACCUCGUUGGAAACACCUCAUAGAGUAUAUGUGUGGUUUUCUUUAUUCACAGAACUAGACGUUCGAUCUGUGGGAAAGAGCUACAUCUAUCU